rnacentral:lncRNA from 1 species
UGGCAACAUAGUAGUUCCAAUGAUUGCCAAAAUCAUCCAAAACCAGUAUAUGGGUGGCACCUUCAUUGUAUUAAAAUAUGAUGAUUCUGAGUUUAAGCAUCUUUAAAUUAUUCCAAAAAAACAAAAAGUGGAAUUUUUCACAAUUGUUCCGUUUCCAUGGAAACGGCAGCCAUUUUUUAUGGUCUUAGACCCUACUGCAACCCGCAAUUUUGUGUUCCCUAUUAUACUAACUAUCAUUAAGAUUGGUUCCAUUGGCUCCGAGAAAAGUGGCGGACAAAAUAGUUGGAAAAGAAUAAUAAUAAACAAAGAAACAGAGGAAAAGCAAUAUGUCACCCGACAUUGUCGAUCGGGUGACAUAAUAAUAAAAAAAAAGAAACGUAGAAUAACAAUACGUCACCCCAACUCCGUUGAGGGUGCCAUAAUAAGAAAAAAAAGAAACGUAGAAUAACAAUACGUCACCCCAACUCCGUUGAGGGUGCCAUAAUAAUAAGAAAAGAAACAGAGGAAAAGCAAUAUGUCACCCGACAUUGUCGAUCGGGUGACAUAAUAAAAUAAGCCAU